GCUGGGUGUGGUGGCUCAUGCCUGUAAUCCCAGCACUUUGGGAGGCUGAGGUGGGCGGAUCACCUGAGGUCAGGAGUUCAAGACUAGCCUGGCCAACAUGGUGAAACCCCGUCUCUA
ensembl:misc_RNA Metazoa_SRP Metazoan signal recognition particle RNA